rnacentral:rRNA from 1 species
GACGAACGCUGGCGGCGUGCCUAAUACAUGCAAGUAGAACGCACAGUUUAUACCGUAGCUUGCUACACCAUAGACUGUGAGUUGCGAACGGGUGAGUAACGCGUAGGUAACCUGCCUGGUAGCGGGGGAUAACUAUUGGAAACGAUAGCUAAUACCGCAUAAUAUUAAUUAUUGCAUGAUAAUUAAUUGAAAGGUGCAAUUGCACCACUACCAGAUGGACCUGCGUUGUAUUAGCUAGUAGGUGAGGUAACGGCUCACCUAGGCGACGAUACAUAGCCGACCUGAUAUGGUGAUCGGCCACCCUGGGACGGAGACACGGCCCAGACUCCUACGGGAGGCAGCAGUAGGGAAUCUUCGGCAAUGGACGAAAGUCUGACCGAGCAACGCCGCGUGAGUGAAGAAGGUUUUCGGAUCGUAAAGCUCUGUUGUAAGAGAAGAACGGGUGUGAGAGUGGAAAGUUCACACUGUGACGGUAUCUUACCAGAAAGGGACGGCUAACUACGUG